UACAGAGGGUGCAAGCGUUAAUCGGAAUUACUGGGCGUAAAGCGUGCGUAGACGGUUAUGUAAGUCGGGUGUGAAAGCCCCGGGCUCAACCUGGGAAUUGCAUUUGAGACUGAAUAGCUAGGGUGCGGAAGAGGGAAGCGGAAUUUCCGGUGUAGCGGUGAAAUGCGUAGAUAUCGGAAGGAACACCAGUGGCGAAAGCGGCUUCCUGGUCCAGCACCGACGUUCAGGCACGAAAGCGUGGGGAGCAAACAGG
rnacentral:rRNA from 1 species